AAACGUGCAGCUUGGAGUAGAUUAAAGGAUUUUUGAGCAAAGACUCUUCAGAAUUGAUCCAUAAGGAUUUAUACCACAACUUGUGAAAAAAAUGAAGGGGGUUGCAGUUCUUCUCUGCAUCCUAUUGGUGAUCAAGUCAUCUGGUGCUGCUCCGGCGAGAAAGUUGGCCGCAGAUGAUGGACAGCAGACAGGCGAAACACAGAAGAAGAUGGAGGGAUAUGGUAGGAUGCCAAAGACUAACGAUGGUAACCAUCAGUGCAAAGUUCCAAUGCUCCCAUGUUGUGCACCAAAGUUGGGAAAGGUCGGUCCUAAUUGUCGUCGUUGAAUGGAAAAUUUCUGGCAGCUGCAUCAAAGACAGAUCUAAGAAUAUUAUGGCGAAAGUAUUAUAUGUAUAAAUAAGCUGAUACUCGUCAACAGAAAGGUCGUCUACUUUCGCUAAAUUAGGUUACAUGAGUACUAGUAUAUUUAACAUAUAUAGAUGCCAAGAUCAUGGUUAUAAAUAUUAUUACCAGUUUCUUCUUGCAUCCAUGCGAAUGCACGAUGUACUAUGUGUACCUUCAGAUUGUAUAUAUAAUAUUUGAAUAAAUAAGAGUUGUCGAAAGUUUCGGCGA